UUGAACGCUGGCGGCAUGCCUUACACAUGCAAGUCGAACGGUAACAGGUUAAGCUGACGAGUGGCGAACGGGUGAGUAAUACAUCGGAACGUGCCCAGUAGUGGGGGAUAGCCCGGCGAAAGCCGGAUUAAUACCGCAUACGACCUAAGGGUGAAAGGGGGGGAUCGCAAGACCUCUCGCUAUUGGAGCGGCCGAUGUCAGAUUAGCUAGUUGGUGGGGUAAAAGCUCACCAAGGCGACGAUCUGUAGCUGGUCUGAGAGGACGACCAGCCACACUGGGACUGAGACACGGCCCAGACUCCUACGGGAGGCAGCAGUGGGGAAUUUUGGACAAUGGGCGCAAGCCUGAUCCAGCCAUGCCGCGUGCGGGAAGAAGGCCUUCGGGUUGUAAACCGCUUUUGUCAGGGAAGAAAUCCUUUGGGUUAAUACCUCGGGGGGAUGACGGUACCUGAAGAAUAGGCACCGGCUAACUACGUG
rnacentral:rRNA from 1 species